AGAGUUUGAUCAUGGCUCAGAGCGAACGCUGGCGGCGUACUUAACACAUGCAAGUCGAACGAGGAUCUUCGGUGUAGCAAUACAUUGGCGGUCCUAGUGGCGCACGGGUGAGUAACACGUGGGUGACCUGCCCUUGAGCUCGGGAUACCCCCUCGAAAGGGGGGCUAAUACCGGAUACGUUCCUCGGUCGAAAGACCGGGGAGGAAAGGUGGCGCAAGCUGCCGCUCUUGGAGGGGCUCGCGGCCUAUCAGCUAGUUGGCGGGGUAACGGCCCACCAAGGCUAUGACGGGUAGCUGGUCUGAGAGGACGACCAGCCACACGGGGACUGAGACACGGCCCCGACUCCUACGGGAGGCAGCAGUGGGGAAUUUUCCGCAAUGGGCGAAAGCCUGACGGAGUGACGCCGCGUGUGGGACGAAGGCCUUCGGGUCGUAAACCACUGUCAGUGGGAAAGAUGGGUGCCGGUGUUAAUACCAUCGGCAUCUGACGGUACCUGCAGAGGAAGCCCCGGCCAACUCUGUGCCAGCCGCCGCGGUAAUAC
rnacentral:rRNA from 1 species